GCAGGAUCCAGAGUAGGACGAGACACGAGAAACCUUGUCUGAACGAGCGGGGACCACCCCGUAAGGCUAAAUACUUCUUAGUGACCGAUAGCGCAUAGUACUGUGAAGGAAAGGUGAAAAGUACCCCGGGAGGGGAGUGAAAGAGAACCUGAAACCCUGUGUCUACAAGCUGUGGGACCUCUUUAUAUGAGGGACUGCGUACUUUUUGUAGAACGGUCCGGCGAGUUGUGCGUACUGGCGAGGUUAAGGACUUAAGGUCUGGAGCCGAAGUGAAAGCAAGCGUUAAUAGCGCGUCAAGUCAGUGAGUGCAGACCCGAAACCGGGUGACCUAUCCAUGUCCAGGUUGAAGCUUCCGUAAGAGGAAGUGGAGGACCGAACCCACAUCCGUUGAAAAGGGUGGGGAUGAGGUGUGGAUAGCGGAGAAAUUCCAAUCGAACCCGGAGAUAGCUGGUUCUCCUCGAAAUAGCUUUAGGGCUAGCCUCAUGAGAGUCUUAUGGAGGUAGAGCACUGAAUUGCCUAGGGGGCGUCAAAGCUUACCAAAGCAUAUCAAACUCCGAAUGCCAUCAAGAUGAUUCAUGGGAGUCAGACCAUACGAGAUAAGUUGGAUGGUCAAAAGGGAAAGAGCCCAGACCUACAGCUAAGGUCCCAAAGUACGUGUUAAGUGGAAAAGGAUGUGGGGAUUCUAAGACAACUAGGACGUUGGCUUAGAAGCAGCCAUUCAUUGAAAGAGUGCGUAAUAGCUCACUAGUCGAGAGUCCCUGCGCCGAAAAUGUCCGGGGCUGAAACACGACACCGAAGCUUAGGAAUGUGUAAACAUUGGUAGAGGAGCAUUGCUGGCGGGAUGAAGCCAUACCGUAAGGAGUGGUGGACUGCCAGGAAGAGAGAAUGCCGGAAUGAGUAGCGAGAUGAAGGUGAGAAUCCUUCAGGCCGAAUAUCUAAGGUUUCCAGAGUAAAGCUGAUCUGCUCUGGGUAAGUCGGGACCUAAGGCGAGGUCGAAAGACGUAGUCGAUGGAUAACAGGUUGAAAUUCCUGUACCGCAUAUAAACAGAACUGUGGGGACACAGACAGGGAAUGGAAUCCGGGAAUGGAGAUCCCGGUGCAAGCGAGGUAGGAGUGCUGUUGGCAAAUCCGCAGCACGAUCUGAAGACGUGACGCGUACCGAACAUAAGUAGGGAAGUCCAGGCCCCUGGCUGUCAAGAAAAGCCGCUAUUGUUUUAUAUGUGCCCGUACCGCAAACCGACACAGGUGGAUGAGGAGAGAAUCCUAAGGCCGACGGGAGAAGUAUUGUUAAGGAACUCGGCAAAAUGACUCCGUAACUUCGGGAGAAGGAGUGCCAUGAGAGUGGCCGCAGAGAAAUGGCCCAAGCAACUGUUUAGCAAAAACACAGGUCUAUGCAAAACCGCAAGGUGAAGUAUAUGGGCUGACGCCUGCCCGGUGCUGGAAGGUUAAGGGGAGAGGUUAGCGCAAGCGAAGCUUUGAACUUAAGCCCCAGUAAACGGCGGCCGUAACUAUAACGGUCCUAAGGUAGCGAAAUUCCUUGUCGGGUAAGUUCCGACCCGCACGAAAGGCGUAAUGAUUUGGGCACUGUCUCAACGAUACACCCGGUGAAAUUGAAAUACCAGUGAAGAUGCUGGUUACCUGCGCCAGGACGGAAAGACCCCAUGGAGCUUUACUCCAGUUUGAUACUGGGAUUCGGCAUGGUAUGUACAGGAUAGGUGGGAGACUGAGAAGGUAUGACGUCAGUUGUACCGGAGUCGCUGUUGGGAUACCACCCUUACCAUGUUGGAUUUCUAACCUGUGGCCGUAAGCCGGUCAGGGGACAAUGUCAGGCGGGGAGUUUGACUGGGGCGGUCGCCUCCGAAAGGGUAUCGGAGGCGCUCAAAGGUUCCCUCAGAAUGGUUGGAAACCAUUCGAAGAGUGCAAAGGCAGAAGGGAGCUUGACUGUGACACCGACGGGUGGAGCAGGUACGAAAGUAGGACUUAGUGAUCCGGUGGUAUAAAGUGGGAUUGCCAUCGCUCAACGGAUAAAAGCUACCCUGGGGAUAACAGGCUUAUCACUCCCAAGAGUUCACAUCGACGGAGUGGUUUGGCACCUCGAUGUCGGCUCAUCGCAUCCUGGAGCUGUAGCAGGUUCCAAGGGUUGGGCUGUUCGCCCAUUAAAGCGGUACGCGAGCUGGGUUCAGAACGUCGUGAGACAGUUCGGUCCCUAUCCGGCGCAGGCG
rnacentral:rRNA from 1 species